AUUGAACGCUGGCGGCAGGCCUAACACAUGCAAGUCGAGCGAGCGGCGGACGGGUGAGUAAUGUCUGGGAAACUGCCUGAUGGAGGGGGAUAACUACUGGAAACGGUAGCUAAUACCGCAUACCAUCAGAUGUGCCCAGAUGGGAUUAGCUGGUUGGUGGGGUAACGGCUCACCUAGGCGACGAUCCCUAGCUGGGCUGAGAGGAGGACCAGGCACACUGGAAAGAAGACAAGGUCCAGACGCCUACGGGUGGCAGCAGGGGGGAAUAUUGCACAAUGGGCGCAAGCCGGAUGCAGCCAUGGCGCGGGUGUGAAGAAGGCCUUCGGGUUGUAAAGCUCUUUCAGCGGGGAGGCGUUACCCGCAGAAGAAGCACCGGCUAACUCCGUGCCAGCAGCCGCGGUAAUAC
rnacentral:rRNA from 1 species